GGUAUAAGAUAGCAGAAACAGUUGGGAAGCUGUUCCAAAGAGGGUGACAGGCCCGUAUGCGAAAUCUUGUACUCUCUAAUCAGGAUCCUGAGUACGGCCCAGCACGUGAAAUUGGGUCGGAAUCUGGGAGGACCAUCUCCCAAGGCUAAAUACUAACUAGUGACCGAUAGCGAACAAGUACCGUGAGGGAAAGGUGAAAAGAACCCCGGAAGGGGAGUGAAAUAGUUCUUGAAACCGUGUGCUUACAAGAAGUUCGAGGCCGUUAAUGGCUGAGAGCGUGCUUUUUGUAGAAUGAACCGGAGAGUUACGAUUGCGUGCAAGGUUAAGGUGCAAAGACUGGAGCCGUAGCGAAAGCGAGUCUUAAUAGGGCGAAUCAGUACGUAGUUGUAGACCCGAAACCGAGUGACCUAUCCAUGGUCAGGUUGAAGGUGGGGUAAUACCUACUGGAGGACCGAACAAG
rnacentral:rRNA from 1 species